ACACUGCUCUUCUCUUCUGCCUCCUCCCGAGGACACACGGAUUUCAGAUUUUAAUUGAAUAUUACAUAUGGUACAUAAAGAACAGCGAGGUAUGGUGCGACCAGCUGUGUAUCUUUCCCCCACUGCUUUUGGUUUGUUUGUUUGUGUUUUGGGGGAGCAAAGUGUCCCAGAAGCGCCCGAUAAGCAAGUGCUGUCCUCCACUGACUUCUACCUGUCCUUGAACAGCCCUAACAGACAAAGCACAUUGCUGAGUGAGGCCUCUGGGAACUCAGGGUCUGCCUGUGUUGAUAGAGAACUACCUGUCUCUGUUCAAACUCAAGGUAUCUAAGUUAGCCCUAGUCAUCCUGAAGGAAUGGGGCAGGGGGAGCAUUUGGACCUAAGACUCUACUUUCCCUUGACUUUCUCCUCUGGUCUUUUGCACUCAAACAUUAGCAAGGGAGACAAAUGCUUAAACAUGGUUCUUGGUAGCAGCCUCAUUGACUGCUUAGUGGUGGGCCCAAUCCUUCACCUCUUUCCCUGCUCCACCAUCAUUCUGGAACAGAGAAACUGUAAAUCUCCUAGACUUUUGAAACCAAUCCAUCCACCCAAUGACAUUGGAUGGACUAUUAAGCAAGUAAUGAAAACAGUUUUCUAAGAGUGCAAAAUGGCAUGAAAUACUUGCCCAAAGCUGUUAUGUAAAGCAAAGGAAAAACAACAACAACAACAACCUUGUACACCCAACCCAGUGAAGAGAGAAAACUAGUGUUAACAGGUUACUUUGGGGGUAGCCAUUCUGUUUUCCAAUUUUUCUAAAAUGGGCAUACUUUAGUUUUAUAAUCUGGAAAAAUGUUUUGUUUUGAAUAAAGACUGAUGGUACAUUCCUAGGCAGGAAAGUGGCUUUGCUAUUUUAGGAAAAAAAUCCUCAACUUCAACCAGAAAAUGCUGUACACACUGUUGUACACACACAGAUAAUCAGCAUGUUUGGUUAAGUACAGCCUAUAGCAUCUGGGCAAUUUUAUUAUAUGUAAGACAUUUGUUUUACCAACAAUACAAUAAAUUCUUCUCUUCCUUUAUUGUGAAUUAUUGUCACAUUUAGUAUAUAAUUCACUAUUAAACAGUACAAUAUAAUUAUAGUCCUGUAAACCAUAAGACAAAUCUUAUGCCCUGAAACAUGUCAAAAGUCCUGAUAAAACCCCAUCUACAGCCGUCAAUGUUGUGAAAGGAAUGAGAAGUACUAUACUAUCAGCCUUGAGAGACCAAUAAGAUCC
rnacentral:lncRNA from 1 species